UACGUAGGGCGCAAGCGUUGUCCGGAAUUAUUGGGCGUAAAGAGCUCGUAGGCGGCUUGUCACGUCGGUUGUGAAAGCCCGGGGCUUAACCCCGGGUCUGCAGUCGAUACGGGCAGGCUAGAGUGUGGUAGGGGAGAUCGGAAUUCCUGGUGUAGAGGUGAAAUUCGUAGAUAUCGGGAGGAACACCGGUGGCGAAGGCGGCGAUCUGGGUAGAUACUGACGCUGAGGUGCGAAAGCGUGGGGAGCAAACAGG
rnacentral:rRNA from 1 species